rnacentral:misc_RNA from 1 species
GAUGAAGAACGUAGCGAAAUGCGAUAAGUAAUGCGAAUUGCAGAAUUUCCGUGAGUCAUCGAAUCUUUGAACGCACAUUGCGCCCAUUGGUAUUCCGAUGGGCAUGCCUGUUCGAGCGUCAUUAUCCUCCCUCAAACCUCGGGUUUGGUGUUGGACCCAAGUUGUGCGAUGAACAACUGGUCUUAAAGACAAUGACGGCGUCCGUGGGACCCUCGGUGCAACGAGCUUUUAGGAGCACGCGUCGAGUUUCAAGGACCUUCCGGGCCGGUCUCCUUUACCAUUUUACAAGGUUGACCUCGGAUCAGGUAGGAAUACCCGCUGAACUUAAGCAUAUCAAUAAGCGGAGGA